UGAUCAAUAAUAAUUAGAAGGAUAUGAAAUGUAAUGUUAUCAUGAAAGGCAUAGAAUUGGGAUAUAUAAAAAGUAUGAAGUAAAAGUGAGCGAAGGUAGGAGAGGACGGCAGACGAUGGCAAAGUAUUCAUAAAAGUUGUGAUUCUUUUGAAAAUCAACCAAUACCUAACAAUGAUUAUUUUAAACGAAGAAACAACAAUGUAGAAGAAGGUGUGGCAACAUUAACCAAACUUUUUCCGCUCAUGAAUGUCAUAAAAGUCCAUAAGUGGCCAAUCUAUUUCGACUAAAUAUCAUACUGGCAAUCCCGAUUAUUCGUAGAGCAACGAAUAAGAAAAAGAUCGUAUGAUGAACGCGAAAAAUACCUCACUGAUCUUCGAAAUUACUGAGGGCAGCGAUACAACACACCAAUAUGGCUGAUAGUUUUUUUGGAAUAAAGC
rnacentral:misc_RNA from 1 species